ACUCCGCUCCUCUCGAUCCCCUCGAUCUUCCUGACGCACUGACGCAGCCGCCGCUGCUGCAAGAUUGCAAAUCAGUCUGGAGAGGACCUUGCGUGAGCUCGCUGCCGCGUCGGUCUCCUCCUAGGGCGACACCGGGGCGCCCCCCCAACCCUAGCCGCCACAGACCCCACCACAACCGCGCCGCCGCCGCCGGCGGUGGCGAAGGCGGCUCCUCAAAGCAGGGACGCGUCUCCCGUCGGAAUCCAAGUCCGUUCGCGCGAGCUUCUCCGCCCCUCAAUCCGAUCUUCACCUUCGCUCAUGGUGGCCAUCAGCUGGCAUCCCACCAGCGGCCAGCUUGAUCUGCGCGGCAGUCGAUGACCGCCGUUGGGCCUGCUUGCGGCGCACAGAUCAGGUCGCGCGCGACGGCUACAUCAUCGCCGGAUCUGUCCUUUCGUCCGACCGCGACCCCAACCCCAGCGCCCUCCUCCACCGCCCGCUUCCCCCACUCCCGCUUGACUCCACGGGGGGCGCCGGUGGCGACGCUCUGCCCGGAGUUCCGCGGAUCUGCGUGUGCCAGCCGCUGUGCUCUGUCGGCCCUGGCCCGCGCUGUGGUUGCCCUUGGCUCGUCACCAGGCUCCUGUGUGGCUUGCUCUCGCACGUCCAGAUGCACCAUCGCCGGGUUCCCUGUUGCCCCUCAGAUAUGAUAAAUGCAUCCACCCAUCGCAUCCAUUGGCUUGGGUACCUGCUGACCUUCUGCUGCUCUGUCUCCGGGAGAAAUCCCUUCGCUAGCUCCUUGCUAGAUUGGCCGACAACUUGUCGGUUUGUUGCUCUUCCCUUACAAGCAUGGUCUAAACAAUGGUGCCUUCACCCUUGCUUGUGCCUCAACCCACAUGGUCAUCUUUGAGACGUGGUAUUCAGUCACAUGACAGAGUUCUCUUUGUCCUUGAGGUCAGGUGCGACAACUAGCGACACAUGCUGGAGCUUUUGGCGUCGCUGGCGGCGGCAUCACCUGCAUCCACCUCUCCCUGGUCGCCUUCGAGAGUGUGUGCGGCCGACCGUCAAGCUUGUUAUGACACACUUUGAAUUUCCGAGCAAGUCGCAGCCUUUUCAGAUUCAUCAACACAGGUUACAUCAGUAGUCAAUAUGGUUCAGAUGCAUAAUGAAAUGUUCAUGCAUGGGACUAUACAACCAAGUAUUUCUCGAUCUGGUGAUGCUUUAUUCAGAGUUCUUGUGCAUCAGACUGGAGUGUUACCACAAACCUGUUAUUUAUUUCACUUCAUGUGAGUUAAUGCCAAGGCCUUUUUUGUGUCCCCUCUAAUCAUUGCAUUUGUAUCUCGAUCAUUGUAUUAACGAAAAGCAAAAUAUUUCUCAUGUUUUGCUCAGUGUGUCUACUUCUCUUCUCUAUUAUAUUAACUAUUUUUGGAUGAUAUUUCACAAGAAUGACAUUGUUAGAUUUAGAUUCGUUAGGUUUCAAUGCAUUUGAACAUGACAGUUAUAUGCCUAUGCCUCUGUGCAAGUUUUACCCAAUGGUACUUCAGCGUUUCACUAUGAACGACUUCACUGAUUGUUAGGAAUAUUUCUUAUUUCACGCUGAAUUGUUUAUCAGUAUGUUGGAAGAACAUCAUAGCCAAUUAGAGAAUAUAUGUGCUAGAUGUGCUAUAAUUACUCAUAUGUUGGCUGUUGAUAUAUGAGCUUUGAUGAACCUAGCUUCAGGAAAGUCGUUCUAUGCAUUCCAGUCCAAAAAUAACUUCAGAAAACUGAUUUUCAUUUCUGAACAUUAUUCCGUUAUCGUGGAUUUUUCCACUCUGUUUCACGUGUGAUUAACAUUUUCAGUUUGUUAUUUCAUUACUAACUCCACAUAGACAGAUAGACUGGUAGAUAGUCACUCGGAGUGUUUGAUCCUCCUAAUCACAUCAUAUCCGUCUCUACCUGCAGCUUUGGACAAAAACGUCUAUGCUCAACACAGCUGGUUCCCCCAAGUUCAGCAGUGACCGUAUGAUACACAGUACGCAAAAGAUAUAUGGGAUAUCAUCCCCGUCAUCAUGCUCUGAAUAAUUUAAGCAGUUUACAGAAACCUUGAGUCUGUGAGGCGCAAUCGGUCACAGAUUUGCCUCUACUCCUCAUUGGGAAGGUGUUGCUGCCCCCAGCUUUGUAUAGGAACAUGCAAGUUCUGACAUGGACCUGAGAGCUGAGAGCAUGCAGGGUGAUAUGUAUGAAGGAAAAAAGCCAGAGCAGCGCUUGGAUAAAAGUCAGUGUUGGAAUUUUUUUGGCAGAUGCGGAAAUCUUGGUAAAGGAUAAGGACGCACACGGCGGCGACGUUAGUAGGAGCGUAACAAACAAGAAGGGCGGGUGUGGCAAUGGCCAUUCAUGUGUCAGACGAAAAUAGUACACCCACAUGUGUGACGAGGCUGGACUUGACAUAUGCAUCAGCGAGCAUGGUGAUGAGGUGAGAGUUGGAAGCGUGGAUGUACUUGACAAGGACCAAGUAGAUGCGAGCAAGCAUAUGGUGGGCAAUGUCGACGAUGGUCGCGUCGAUGAGAAGACCGAAGAGGAAGGCUUAAUGUAAUUAGCCAGUGUCUUUGGACAGGUUGUCGACAGAUAAAAGUUCUAUAGUUUGGCUUGAGGAGUAACAUAGAUAGGCAUGCUGGUGCUAUAAGGCUAUAUCUCUCUUCGUGGACAAGAGCAUACAAUGCUUCAAGUUUCAUGGAAGUUUUAUAAAUUCUAUUAUGAGGCUCAAUCUGAAAUAAAAUGGUGUCUUGCUUUACCAA